AAAAGAGGAAUAUGGCCUCUGACACCGCAGCCUGCUCACCUGGGGCUGGUAUGGUGGCCUCCUGGUGAGAGCUGGCGACACAGUGGCCCUCGGACGCCACUGAGCAACGUACGCUCAACAACGAGUAUAAGCAUUAUAACACGUCUGACGUGUGCAGAGUCCUGACUGCUCCAGAGUUUUCAGACACUGUUAGGGUUGUCAAGAGAAACAGAGCCAACAGGACAAAGAUGACUCGUGCGCCGCACAAAUCCGUACGACACAGCCACACGCAGACGCACGCGCAACGAGAGGCGGAGCUGGGAGCACACCACGGCCACUGCUAUGAAGGGGGAGCUGGGGCAGGAGGCCCUACAGCAGAGGAAGCAGCCCCUUCUGCGGGGUCAGGGCAAGCGUCCCAGGGCACGCCCUGGAGCAGAGCCCUGGGGCGAUGGUGCGGCUGCCUUGGGUCUGCUGGUCAACGCCUGGUCUCCCGCCCUCCAGGCCACAGGACUUCCUGGACUCGGGCUGCGUGAGGCCGCUUGGGAGGACAUCACAGUGACCUGCUGAAGAGCAGGUUUCGAAACACGGUCUGAGGACGAGCGGACACACAAAGGACACUCCUCACAGGGCACUCACUCUCUAGUGGGCCACACCCAGUGCAAAGCAGAGUUCACAGUGCCACAUGCAUACAGCUGAAUCAGGGGUGCAGAAAUGAGUUGAUAGCGGCUUCCCUGGUGGCUCAGAUGGUAAAGCGCCUGUCUACAAUGCGGGAGANNNNNNNNNNNNNNNNNNNNNNNNNNNNNNNNNNNNNNNNNNNNNNNNNNNNNNNNNNNNNNNNNNNNNNNNNNNNNNNNNNNNNNNNNNNNNNNNNNNCGCAAAGAGUCGGACACAACUGAGCGACUUCACUUUCACUUUCACUUUCCUUGGUGAUCCAAUGCAGGGGACACAGGUUAGCUCCUUGGUUGGGGAACUAAGAUCACACAUGCCGUGGGGCAACUUUGCCCGCACACCACAACUGCUGAGCCCGCAUGCCACGAUGAAAGUCCCAUGCCAAGACUAAGAGCAACACAACCGAAUAAAUGAAUGCCUUCUGGAGGGGCUUUCCUCACAGCUCAGUAGUAAAGAAUCUGCCUGCCCCUGCAGGAGACGCGAGUUCCCUCCCUGAUCCAGGAAGAUUCCACAUGCCCCAGCCAACUAAGCCUGGGAGCCGCAACUACGGACCCUGCGCUCUGGAGCCCAGGGGCUGCAGCUGCUGAAGCCCACGCACCUUAGUGCCCACGCUGCACAGCAGAAGCCGCCACAGUGAGAAGCCUGCGUGCCACCUCCAGAAAGCAGCACCCGCUCACUGCAACGGCAGAGGCCCAGCACAGCCAGAAUUAAAGAGAUACAAAUGCGUUAAGAACGGAGUCUACAGAUGGGAGGCAGGGAAGAAACAACUCUCCUUCCAAAACAGAGAAUUUGCAUUGCCAUCGAUUAUCCAUGGCUUAUGGAGUUAUAAAGCAGCUCAAAGACAGUGAAAAUCAUAGAGCCCUCUAGGAUCAGACAGCCUUGAAGGGCAUGCAAGACAGCACCUUGCUUUCCACAGAAAUCACAAGAAGCAGCCCUUUGGCCCACUGCCAAGUCUUUCACAGUUCCUCCUACUAACAUGCACAACAGAAACAGAUCCAGAAUAGAGAGAAAGCUCCUGCAAACCAAUCAGAAAAUCAAACACUCUGGCAGAGAAGUGGUCAAGAGAAUUAAACAGAGGUUUCACAAAAGAUGUCCAAACAGCCCUCAAACGUUUGAAAGGAAACAUGCUGGUUACCAGGGAAAUGAAAGUGAGAACCCACAUCAGAGAAAGUAGUUCUGACUCCAGCACAGGUGGGGCAGCCUGGCCCAGACUAACCCCUUGCAAAUAAUAAUUAUAAGCCGUGGGAGGAAAAAAAGCUAUCUGAAAAAGGAUCUGAAGGCACUGGGGAAUGCCCGAAAGACACUGGAGACCCUCUGAAAGGUUAGUCUGAGGAGGUACCUGUGGCCAGGCACCAGGUGUGGCUAGGACACGAGCAGGAACCGCAGUCAGCACAGCGUCGCAUCACAGGAUGCAAGGCUGCACGCAAGGGCAGCUGGGGCUUGAGGAGAGGAGUCCAGAAAAGGAGGGAGCCACAGAAAGGGAGCCCCAGCCCUGCAGCGCACUCUGCCCAGAUCUCAGCUGGCCCCUUCCCUGCGCAUGUGUGGGGAAACUCCAAAGGGCCUGGAGGAGGCACCAGCAGGAGCUCAAAAGGGCUGAGGCGACCUGAGCUACCGCCAAAUACAGGAAUGGUGCCAGAGCAGACAGACUGGAGCUAACUGCCUCCCAACAGAAAAUCAGUCCUUGUCUGAGGAAGAGCGCACAGUCCAUCGCCUUUGUUACGUUCGAUCUGCAGCACCAAGCGCACACUCAAAAGUCACUGCUUGUGCAAAGAAACAAGAAAAUGCGACCCACAGUCAAGAUACAAGGUUGUCAAUGGAGCAGAUAAUCUCUACAGAAAAUGUUCAGACUAUUUACAAGAACCAAAUCAAAAUUCUAGAACUAGAAGUACAAUUCUGAAUUUGUUAAGUCACUUGAUGAGCUUCACAGCAGAUUGAAGACGCUAAAAGAAAGGUCAGAAAACUGCAUUUCAACAUAGAGAUAUUCUAUAUUUAUUAUAGAUAUUCUAAUGUGUUACAUACAUAAAAUACAUUUUACAUAAUAUAUAGAUACACAUUGAAUCUGUACUUUAUAUAUCAAUAAAAUGUUUUUAAUCCAAUUCAAAGAACACAAAGAAAAAUAUUGGGGAAAAUAAAGAAAAGAGACUCAGUGUCCUGCGGGACACUGUGAAACACUUGAAAACACGUAAAACUGGAUGGAGCCCUAGANNNNNNNNNNNNNNNNNNNNNNNNNNNNNNNNNNUCCCAAUGUGGCCAAAGUAUCAAUUCACAGAUUUAAGAAGCUCAGCCAGUUCCUAACAGCAAGUAUGAUAUGAUGUGCCAUGUG
ensembl:lncRNA